CUACGGGGGGCUGCAGUGGGGAAUAUUGGACAAUGGGGGAAACCCUGAUCCAGCAAUGCCGCGUGUGUGAAGAAGGCCUGCGGGUUGUAAAGCACUUUCGGUUGGGAGGACUGCUUCUAGCACUAAUAUUGUUGGAAGUUGACGUUACCUUCAGAAGAAGCACCGGCUAACUCCGUGCCAGCAGCCGCGGUAAUACGGAGGGUGCAAGCGUUAAUCGGAAUUACUGGGCGUAAAGCGCGCGUAGGCGGCUAGAUCAGUCGGGUGUGAAAGCCACGGGCUUAACCUGGGAACUGCAUCCGAUACUGUCUAGCUUGAGUACAGGAGAGGAGAGUGGAAUUCUACAUGUGGCAGUGAAAUGCGUAGAUAUGUGGAGGAACACCAAUGGCGCAGGCAGCUCUCUGGACUGAUACUGGCGCUGAGGUGCGAAGGCGUGGAGAGCGAACAGGAUUAGAUACCCGGGUAGUC
rnacentral:rRNA from 1 species